GAUGAACGCUGGCGGCGUGCCUAAUACAUGCAAGUCGAGCGAAUGGAUUGAGAGCUUGCUCUUAUGAAGUUAGCGGCGGACGGGUGAGUAACACGUGGGUAACCUGCCCAUAAGACUGGGAUAACCCCGGGAAACCGGGGCUAAUACCGGAUAACAUUUUGAACCGCAUGGUUCGAAAUUGAAAGGCGGCUUCGGCUGUCACUUAGGGAUGGACCCGCGUCGCAUUAGCUAGUUGGUGAGGUAACGGCUCACCAAGGCAACGAUGCGUAGCCGACCUGAGAGGGUGAUCGGCCACACUGGGACUGAGACACGGCCCAGACUCCUACGGGAGGCAGCAGUAGGGAAUCUUCCGCAAUGGACGAAAGUCUGACGGAGCAACGCCGCGUGAGUGAUGAAGGCUUUCGGGUCGUAAAACUCUGUUGUUAGGGAAGAACAAGUGCUAGUUGAAUAAGCUGGCACCUUGACGGUACCUAACCAGAAAGCCACGGCUAACUACGUGCCAGCAGCCGCAGUAA
rnacentral:rRNA from 1 species